GAUGAACGCUGGCGGCGUGCCUAAUACAUGCAAGUCGAGCGAACGGACCAUACUCUUGCUUCUCUGAUGUUACCGGCGGACGGGUGAGUCACACGUGGAUUACCUACCUAUACGACUUGGAUAACUUCGGGAAACCGUAGCUCAUACCGGAUACUCUUUUUAUCCUCAUUGUUCAAAAGUUUUUUCCGUUCUUGCUGUCACUUCUAGAUGUAUCCUCGCUGCAUUAGAUAGUUGGUACGGUAACGGCUUACCAAGGCAACGAUGCAUAGCCGACCUGAGAGGGUGAACGGGCACACAGGAAGUGAGACACGGUACAGAGACAGAGGGGAGGCAGAAGUAGGGAAUGUACGGAAAAGGGCGAAAGACUGAAGGAGCAGCGCAGGGUGAGUGAUGAAGGGAUGCGGAUCGGAAAAAUGUGUUAGGAGGGAAGAACAUAUGUGUAAGGAACGGAGCACAUCGUGACGGUACCUAAUCAGAAAGCCACGGCUAACUACGUG
rnacentral:rRNA from 1 species